rnacentral:rRNA from 1 species
GACGAACGCUGGCGGCGUGCCUAAUACAUGCAAGUCGAACGCAGUGGGGACGGGUGAGUAACCCGUGGGUAACCUCCCAUCAAGGGGGAUAACACUUGGAAAUAGGUGCUAAACGGAUACGGCUGGCUGAACCCGCGGUGCAUUGGCUCGUGGGUGGGGUAACGGCUCACCAAGGCCACGGUGCAUAGCGGGCCGGAGAGGGGGAUCGGCCACACUGGACCUGAGACACGGCCCAGAGUCCAGAGGGAUGCAGGAGUAGGGAAUCGUGGGCAAUGGACGAAAGUCUGACGGAGGAACGCGGCGUGAGUGAAGAAGGUUUUCGGAUCGUGGGACUCUAUUGUUUGAGGAGGGGUAGCUAACGAGGAAGCCACGGCUAACUACGUGCCAGCAGCCGCGGUAAUUC